rnacentral:rRNA from 1 species
UACGGAGGAUGCGAGCGUUAUCCGGAUUUAUUGGGUUUAAAGGGUGCGUAGGCGGAUUUUUAAGUCAGCGGUAAAAUGUCCGGGCUCAACCCGGGCCGGCCGUUGAAACUGGGGAUCUUGAGUGGGCGAGAAGUAUGCGGAAUGCGUGGUGUAGCGGUGUAAUGCAUAGAUAUCACGCAGAACUCCGAUUGCGAAGGCAGCAUACCGGCGCCCGACUGACGCUGAGGCACGAAAGCGUGGGGAUCGAACAGG